rnacentral:rRNA from 1 species
UGGGGAAUUUUGGACAAUGGGCGCAAGCCUGAUCCAGCCAUGCCGCGUGAGUGAAGAAGGCCUUCGGGUUGUAAAGCUCUUUCAGUUGGGAAGAAACGAUUGCAACUAAUAAUUGUAAUUAAUGACGGUACCGACAGAAGAAGCACCGGCUAACUACGUGCCAGCAGCCGCGGUAAUACGUAGGGUGCGAGCGUUAAUCGGAAUUACUGGGCGUAAAGGGUGCGCAGGCGGUUUUGUAAGUCAGAUGUGAAAUCCCCGGGCUUAACCUGGGAAUGGCGUUUGAAACUGCAAGGCUAGAGUGUAGCAGAGGGGAGUGGAAUUCCGCGUGUAGCAGUGAAAUGCGUAGAUAUGCGGUGGAACACCGAUGGCGAAGGCAGCUCCCUGGGCUAACACUGACGCUCA